GGUUUAUGUGGCCCAGCGGCCAUAUCAGGACCUAUGAUAAGAGUCACCAAAGCAACCAAGGACACAAGGAAACAAAGUGAUGGUUCAACAGUUGGAAACAAAAAGUGAUGGUUCAACAUUUAGAGAAGAAGCUGGCAACGGACUCGGGGAAAAGAGCAGCCAAUCCGCUAAGGUGCGUGAACAGCGAGUGAUCGGCCUGCAGCACCAAUCACAAACUAACAUACGUAAUUAGUAGCCUAUAAUUGUAAUGCAGUAUGCAUGCUCGGCGCGUGUACGGAACACAAAAUAAGAUAAAUAUGUAUCACUGAGGCUUAAUAAACGAGCGCUUUCUGCACACCAUAUUGGCGCCUGAGACUGGCUUCGUCACUGACAUGACACCAGGCUGCGCAUGGGCACAAGGAUUCACCACAUUUGGGGUCUUGUCCGGGAUCUCACUGAUCUCAAGCCACUGAACCAGUAUCCCACUGCAUCCAGACGAUUGGGAAAAAAUUGCAUUCUCUGUACCAUCGAUAAAUCGUGAACAACCUUACAAGAGGUACCACUGGACUGUCCUGCCACAAGGAAUGAAAAACUCUCCCACUAUUUGUCAAUGACCAUUACAAGCCCUCUCAGUUUUCACAGAUGCCAGCAGUCGUUCAGGUCAGGGAGGCAUCUGGUGGACGGAUCCAGCAACUCAACAGCAAAAGACGCAUCGUGUAUGUGGUCAAGGGGAAAGAACCACAGUGGAUACCCUCUAAAUGGAUGAAACCUGACAUUCAUACUUCAUGCAACGAUCCUAUUACCUGUUCCAGAGACUACCCAGAAGAGCCAAGAACCAGACGGCGAAGACUACGCCAGGAAUAAGACUGGGUAAAAGCAGACUUCGACCUCACCUGUCAAGUUGAAGCCACAGCAUUAGGCCUACCCUGUACUGAGUUAGAAAGGCUGGUAAUUGAGACAGAAAUUUCAUAAUUAAUAGGAGAUUUGACGCCAUGUGCCACAAUACAUUGUAAAUUCUUUGAAACAAAUCAGAUAAUUUUAAACCAAAUUCUUUUGCAACAGUAAGUAUUGGGAGUCUGGUGUGGGAAAACACCUAGGACUGCCACAUUUUCAGAAUAUCGAAGCCAAUAAUUGGGAGCAGGCUUUGCAACACUGGCAAUGGCAUCAAAAUCCUUGUUACUAAUACUCUUGUCUUGUGUAACAGUUGCUUUAGCAAUAAUCACGCGCAUAGAUCCUCGAAAAAAAUGUCUGGGUAACAUGGGCAAACCAAACAGGGAAUAUGGAUUUCUGCCUAAGCUUGCAAACUGUAGGUGAUCCUUUCAGGACCUGUUUGAUUGGCGUUCCGAUCGCUUGGGAAGGCAAUGACACUUUAACAAAGCGGCUCAUUGCUAAUUACACUGAUUUUGCAGGAUAUAUAGGCAACAUCUGUUUUAACUCUAGUCAUUGGCAAAAUCUUCUCAAUUGUUCAAACUAUUGGCCGGUCAUAUCAGGGUCCUCCAUUCAGGCUGCCCUAAUUCAAGCACUUAACAUAACAAGCCCAGUUGCUAUUCCUGCUUUGGAUGUCAUGAGUAGUUUCGCACCUGGUGCUCCUACUAAUGUGUCACACAUUGGGAAUCAGUCAUCCAAUCCCAAUGCCAUAUGCACUACCAUUAGCCCCAGUGCCCGAUGCUUUAACGGUUCUGGCUAUGUAAUGGUUGGAGAAUGGGGACGCAUCAACAAUGGUCUCAGGGAAAUACGUUACAUAGGUCCGAAUGGAACUUCUCAAAUUAAUGCUACACACACAGAUUGGCCAAAGUGCAAUAUUCACAGUCUGGUACCAUCCCCUCAUGAUGCAAAAGUACUACCCCCUGAUAUAUUUCUUAUAUGUGGCAGUCAUUCUUGGCAGGGUAUCCCAGCAGGCAUCAUUGGAGGACCAUGUUAUCUGGGACAAUUGACCGUGUUUGCUCCACAUUUUCGAGAAUUGCUUUCACUUUAACACGACUCAAGUCAAACGCUCUUUACACGCUUUUGCUUCCAACUGUGAUGAUGAUGUUAAACUAAAUUCAAAAGCUGUCGAUGCGGCCUUAGCUACACUUAUUCCAGGUGCUGCAGCGGACAUGCUUUAAAUCAGUUAAGACGCCUAGCCUGCUGGUCUGUAAAACAAAGCAACAUCACCUCAGCUGUGCUUGAACAGCUCUUAAACGAUGUCACCUCUAUUAACCAUGCAGUCUUGCAGAACAGAGCUGCUAUUGAUUCCCUCCUAUCAGCUCAGGGACAUGGAUGCCAGGAGUUCGAAGGCAUGUGCUGCAUGAACUUGUCGGACCAUCAUGUAAGUAUCCACAAGCAGCUAGCUCAGCUAAAGGAAAAUAUCAACCACAUUCAAGAAGGCGCCUUACCAUUUGACAGCUUCUUCACAGGCUGGGGUCUUGGACCCUGGCUUAGCCAGCUAAUCAAAGAAGGCCUCCGUUUGUUCCUUUUUCUCUUAUGUGCCCUUCUCAUGUUUAGUGGCCUCUUUUGUUGUAUAAAUCAUUGUAUCUUUUCAAUUAUAAGGAAAGGGGGAAGUGUGGAGGUUUAUGUGGCCCAGCGGCCAUAUCAGGACCUAUGAUAAGAGUCACCAAAGCAACCAAGGACACAAGGAAACAAAGUGAUGGUUCAACAGUUGGAAACAAAAAGUGAUGGUUCAACAUUUAGAGAAGAAGCUGGCAACGGACUCGGGGAAAAGAGCAGCCAAUCCGCUAAGGUGCGUGAACAGCGAGUGAUCGGCCUGCAGCACCAAUCACAAACUAACAUACGUAAUUAGUAGCCUAUAAUUGUAAUGCAGUAUGCAUGCUCGGCGCGUGUACGGAACACAAAAUAAGAUAAAUAUGUAUCACUGAGGCUUAAUAAACGAGCGCUUUCUGCACACCA